UACGAAGGGGGCUAGCGUUGCUCGGAAUUACUGGGCGUAAAGCGCACGUAGGCGGCUUCUUAAGUCGGUGGUGAAAUCCUGGAGCUCAACUCCAGAACUGCCUUCGAUACUGGGAAGCUCGAGUCCGGGAGAGGUGAGUGGAACUGCGAGUGUAGAGGUGAAAUUCGUAGAUAUUCGCAAGAACACCCGUGGCGAAGGCGGUUCUCUGGGACGGUACUGACGCUGAGACGCGAAAGCGUGGGGAGCGAACAGG
rnacentral:rRNA from 1 species